GGCAGAGGGAGCCCGGCUCCCGUGCGCAGUGUGGCGCACGAGGAAAGUCCCCCCACCGUCCGGGCGGGCGACCGGGCGCAAGCCCGGGACGGGAGACCGUCGGCUCUGGAACAGCAACGAGACCCCCCGAUCCGAGUGAUGAGGCGCGGGCGGCCGCGAGGUCCCCCGGCACGAGCGGGCGACGCCCGCUCGUACAACCGCGCGCCCGACGACCGGGAACGGAUGGAACGGCGAAUCCUCGCCGGUGCAAGCCCGCCGCACAGGUAGCCCGGACGAGCGGCGGGCGCUCAGCCGAAUGCCGGGACGAACAGAAGGGGGCUUACUCCCCUCAGCC
rnacentral:RNase_P_RNA from 1 species